GCUUUUAUUCUUAUGAAGAAAAAAACUUACGGAAAAACUAAAACCCUAAAACCAAAUCAUUGAUCGACCGAACCAUUUGGUCAUCAUCUUCUUUACCAGUGGUAUUGUUCUAUCAUAGGCUACUGAUUUUACAAGUUUAACAACAAGGGUUUUCUGAUUCGCAGAGAGGGGAGCCGAACGAAGGGUUUUGCUAGGUUUUUUUAUUACUCGAUCUAAAUUCACGAAAAAAAUCCCCAAUCUCUUUUCUCUAAAGAAAUUCAAACAAAAUAUGAGUAUCUGGAGGAUCAGUUCUACAUGAUAACCGACGAGUUAGAAGGUUUCAAAAUUUUCAUAUAUGACAACCUUAUUUUUUGUCACAGAAGUUAUCAUAUCCCUGACGUGCUUCCAAUAUCCUCUUUCGAUACGAUGUCUGCGGAAGGUCUGUUUUCAUGAAUGGUUAUGAAGUACACUAAUUAAAAUUAUUAAACAGGUGUGAAUUUGAUUUCUCCCUCAAAUUGUGUGUGAUUUUUGCUAAAAAAAUCUCCAGAAGAAACCAGCAAAAAGAAAGGAAGAAAAGAAACGUUCCAGAAUCCAGAAUCAUCGAACUCUCCAGAAGGUUAAGACAUAGAGAUCCAGAUUGGAGUGGAUUACAUUGUUAUCAAGAUUUUAUCCUGCUCAUCAACGUUUAACUAUUGUAGACCCUGCUUCUGGUGAUCAACCUCUUUACAAUGAAGACACAUCUAUCAUCAUCACGGUUAACGGGGAGAUAUAUAACCAUGAAGAAUUGAGGGCAAAGUUGAAGAAUCAUAAAUUCAGAAGUGGAAGUGAUCGGGAGCUUUCAGAAAAUGCUUAUAAUGGAUUUUCUUCCAUUAAAGCUACUACCGAUAUUCUCGGAUUAAAGGGAGAGAGUAGCCAAUGGAUAAAUGUAAAGUUUAAACACCCCCAUCAAUCCGCAGAUGAUUGGAGCGCAGUGUUCUUUCCAGCUAUUUUCAAGGAGAGAGUAGCCAAUGGAUAAAUGUAAAGUUUAAACAGCCCCAUCCGACCGCAGAUGAUUGGAUCGCAGUGUUUUCUCCAGCUAAUUUCAAUGCUCCAACAUAUGUGCCCACCAUGGGAGUUCCUGCUUUCCUCAGUCUAUUGUUGGUUUCUGCCCCAAUCAAGUUGAAGCUUCAACCAAAUUUUAAGUCUUAUAAGAUGAUAUUUCCAUGUUAAAACAAUUGUUUGUUCCAGUGCAUGGCCUAUUUCACUUGACAUAGAAAUGCGUCUCUUAUGCGGGGAAACCAGAUUGUUUCUCUACCACCUAGAAGCAAUGUCGUCAUCUUCACCUUAAAGCUUCCGGACUUGCGGCCAAGAAAUAGUUGGCAUGAUACCUAUAUCCUAUAACAGGUGUAAAUGAUAAGGCGUGAAUUUAGUCAGUGUAUAAGAGGGGUGUUAUUGCUUCGCGUCAAUUUUUCGUGUUAAUAAUCAUGAUGGAUUCCUUGCCCAUUCUUAAUUUUCAGUUCUUAGGCAUCAACCUAAGCAAACGCUGAUAAGUAUGAUUGUCUUAAUUAUUUUUCAUGUUUUCUCGGGUUCGUCCUUCAGUUUUAUUGAUGGAAUAUAACAGUAUUCUUUGUUGAGAAUUGUAUUCCUGAAGUUUACGCAGCCAAACAUGCUACAAUAUACUCAAAAGUGAGAAUUCUCCAUAUACAUAUAUAGUACUAUCAUAUAAAGCCAA